AUGACGCAGCGCUUGUAACUGGAGCCUAAAGACUUGGUGGGGUGUGUGCGCGCGAGGCGCGGGGUGAGCUGUUCCCUGAACGCGAGGCUGCCUGGGGCCGGUGCAACCUGCAGACCUGCAGACCUCGGCCGCUGCUUGCACUUCUGACCUCCCCUCCGCCCUGGAUGAGAUGCUAGGCACGCUGCUGGACCCUGAGGACACACAGAGACAAAUCAGACACACUAUCCGCCCUCCAGAAGCUCAGCAGAGGGCAGGAGGAGCAGCAAAGACCUGGACACAGAUCCCUAAAUGACUGAUGUCAAGGCCAUGGUGAAGAAUGGGCUUAUCAGAGAGCAAAACGGGGACAAUACCCGAAACUGUUUUAUUUCUUUGAGAGAGAGGAAGAACGAGUGAGCAAGCAAGUGAGAGAGAAAGCAUAAGCAGCGGGAGGAGCAGAGGGACAGGGAGACGCAGACGCCCCGCUGAGCAGGGAGCCCAAUGCAGGACUCGAUCCCAGGACCCCGGGACCCCGGGACCAUGACCUGGAAAAAGAAGGCCAGCCUGAUGCUCUCCGCUUCUCUGCCACUCUUGUCUACCAGAAUUUUAAAGAACUAAACUGGAGGACGCCAGCCCUCAUUCUGUGCCUUCUCCUCCUUUCUUUGAUGUCAAGUUAAUUCCAAGAGAGCAGAGCAACCACAGAAUUAAUGAGCCAUUCGCAGUGAACUUAAAUCUACAAGUUAUCACUCAACGACGCAACGUGACAUUUAAUAUUUUCCCAGACUCCAUUCAGGAAGACAGAGGAGAAUGUUAUCAGGUGAGAUCUACACGGAGGAGAAACCACCAGCCACCGUGAAGGAAAGGGUCCCAGCCUGGACCAGCACGAAGGUGCCCGCCAGCUACCCCUCUCUCUCUCUGGUUUCUGCUGGGCCUCCUGAUGGCCAGCCCCACGCAACCCUGAGGGAAGAGAGCCCUCCUGGAGUAGUCCUCACGGGCAGCAGCCAGGGCCAGACAGCAGGUGCAGAAGGGCAGAGAGUGAAUUUGAGGAUCAAGUGGAAGAUCCCAGGCCUAAGAGUACACCUGCCCUACAGAAUCUUGGCAACGAUGGACGGAGAUGAUAUACGGGACACCCUAGAAAUAGUGUCUAGUGCUCAAAAAUUAUUACCUGUUGUUAUUUUAACACAUGCAUUUAUUUAUCCAAUAAAUGUUCAUUGGGAACUUCGUGGCUCUAGCCACCGUGUGAACAUGAACGGUGCUCCAGGGAGGCUCGCCACCCAGCUGCGCUCCUAAGAGGUAAACAUGGAGCGGACCUCGCAGGAGAAGCCCUAGUUGUAUCUAAGGUUGGGGUUCAGAUGUGUCUGGAGAAGUCCGGCAAGCUGGUGUGGGAGAGAGCUUUGGCCUCUCUUUUUAAGUGGCUCUUAGGGUCUUGUUGGGCAGCGGCAUGCUCCGACGGGAGAAGCAGAGGCCCACGAAGGCUGUGCAGUGACCGAGCUCCAGCCGUCAGAAGGCCGGCAGGGGGGUCACUCGGUGGCACAGCGGUUUAGUGCCUGCCUUUGGCCCAGGGCGCGAUCCUGGAGACCCGGGAUCGAAUCCCACAUCGGGCUCCUGGUGCUGCUUCUCCCGCUGCCUGUGUCUCUGCCCCUCUCUCUCUCUCUCUGUGUGACUAUCACAAAAUAAAUAAAUAAAUAAAUAAAUAAAUAAAUAAAUA
rnacentral:lncRNA from 12 species